rnacentral:lncRNA from 1 species
CAUGGAUCCAGAGAAACAAGUCAAUAAGUCAAAUCAAGAUGUGCAUGUGUGGCGAAUGAAUGGUGUAUGGUGAUGAUGGUGAUAAUGGUGAAAGUCUAAUUCUACUUUUGCUCUUUUGAGGGGGUACGUACCUUCCUUGCACUUUGAAGCUUUUUGAGGACAAUGAGAUGCUCUAUAUUUUUUCUUUUCUCUCAGGUGGGUAUCUUGUACCCCUAAUUCUACUGUUGGACACUUGUCCAUUUUUACCUCUCGUCUCACUUUUUCUUUUCUUCGAGGUUCCGGGCACUUGCCCCUUUUUAUUUCCUCGUAUUCAUUUUUUUCAGAGCACUCAUCUUCCUAGAAUAAUAUAGCAAGUGGUAGUAACCAAGAUAACUUGAGCAUUUAUUUAUAGGGAAUAACAGGGAUAGGAGAAUGUUUUUGGUUAUUCUCUCUCGGAUAGGAGUAGAAUAAUUUUAGGUGGAUCUGGAGAUGGAAAUGAGU